CGGUGUGCUCAUACCAGCACUAAAGUACCAGAUCCCAUCAGAACUCUGAAGUUAAGCAUGCUUGGGCGAGAGUAGUACUAUGAUGCGUAACCCCUUGAGAAGUCCUCGUAUUGCACUAC